AGGAUUUUAGUUUAAAUAAUAAAACACUUGAAUUGCAAUCAAAAAAUAUAAUAAUAUAAAUCUU
rnacentral:tRNA from 1 species